rnacentral:snRNA from 11 species
AAACUUACUUGGUGCGGAGGUUUACCGUGAUCAGGAAGGCGGUACCUCCGGG